AGUGAACGCUGGCGGUAGGCCUAACACAUGCAAGUCGAACGGCAGCACAGUAAGAGCUUGCUCUUACGGGUGGCGAGUGGCGGACGGGUGAGGAAUACAUCGGAAUCUACUUUUUCGGGGGGGGUAACGUAGGGAAACUUACGCUAAUACCGCAUACGACCUACGGGUGAAAGCAGGGGAUCUUCGGACCUUGCGCGAUUGAAUGAGCCGAUGUCGGAUUAGCUAGUUGGCGGGGUAAAGGCCCACCAAGGCGCCGAUCCGUAGCUGGUCUGAGAGGAUGAUCGGCCACACUGGAACUGAGACACGGUCCAGACUCCUAAGGGAGGCAGCAGUGGGGAAUAUUGGCCAAUGGGAGCAAGCCUGAUCCAGCCAUACCGCGUGGGUGAAGAAGGCCUUCGGGUUGUAAAGCCCUUUUGUUGGGAAAGAAAAGCAGCAGGUUAAUACCCCGCUGUUCUGACGGUACCCAAAGAAUAAGCACCGGCUAACUUCGUG
rnacentral:rRNA from 1 species